GCAAAGGGGAACAUCAGUUUAUGAAUGCAAAACUUACAGUAGAAUUUUUCUUUUUUUUUAGUUGAACAUGUUCACUGAAGAAAGCCCCCAGGCAACUGUAACUUCCUCAGCUGGCAUUUAUUUGGCAGAAAAAUCAAGGCCUCAGUGAAUUUACCACUGCUUCAGGAAGCAUCCACCCACAAUAUCGCUCUGCCUGAACUCAACCCUCCGAGGUGCUGAGCUCCUUCAAUUCCUCUUGAAGUCAGUGUUGAGGUGCUGGGCUAACAAGGUUGAGGCCAUAGCUCAGCACAUCUACAGUCGUGGUUGUGACCUGCAGAUCUGCGUCUCAGGGUCUGCUGCUGGCUGAUGUGACAGCAUGAAAUACAGCGAUGAAAAUUCAGAGAGGAUGCCUAUGUGAGAAAGCUGGAGCUAUCUCAGGUACCAGCUGAUGUGGUGGCUACAUCACUUGUGGGACCCAAGAUCAAGAUAAGUAAAAGGAGGCCAAAGGCACAGCAAGAAAUUCUGGAAUUUGAAUCUCUCCUUCCAACAAAGGCACCAGAUGAGGGAGCUGCUGCUAUGGUAGAUGACUACUAAGAGCUCAAGCCAAGGAGGGAAAUGCCAAAAUGACAGAGGAAAGAAGAUCUACCCAUACAAAUGUGGACAGUAUUAUACAGAAAUGUUCCCAAAGACUAUAUUUUGCUGCAGUGCUUGGAGCCAUAGCCAAAUGUUGUAUUUGAAUAUGGAUAGCCAGUUGGUUUCUACUUGA
rnacentral:lncRNA from 1 species